rnacentral:rRNA from 1 species
AACGAACGCUGGCGGCAUGCCUAACACAUGCAAGUCGAACGAGACCUUCGGGUCUAGUGGCGCACGGGUGCGUAACACGUGGGAAUCUGCCCUUUGCUUCGGAAUAACAGUUAGAAAUGACUGCUAAUACCGGAUGAUGUCGAAAGACCAAAGAUUUAUCGGCAAAGGAUGAGCCCGCGUAGGAUUAGGUAGUUGGUGGGGUAAAGGCCUACCAAGCCGACGAUCCUUAGCUGGACUGAGAGGAUGAUCAGCCACACUGGGACUGAGACACGGCCCAGACUCCUACGGGAGGCAGCAGUAGGGAAUAUUGGACAAUGGGCGAAAGCCUGAUCCAGCAAUGCCGCGUGAGUGAUGAAGGACUUAGGGUUGUAAAGCUCUUUUACCAGGGAUGAUAAUGACAGUACCUGGAGAAUAAGCUCCGGCUAACUCCGUG